AAGAGACGUUGCCCUUCGGGGUAUACCUCCCACCCUUUGUUAUUAUACCUUUGUUGCUUUGGCGGGCCCGUCCUCGGACCACCGGCUUCUGCUGGUCAGUGCCCGCCAGAGGACCUAAAACUCUGUUUGUUAAUAUUGUCUGAGUACUAUAUAAUAGUUA
rnacentral:misc_RNA from 1 species